AUACGGAGGACGCGAGCGUUAUCCGGAUUCAUUGGGUUUAAAGGGUGCGCAGGCGGCCGUGCAAGUCAGCGGUGAAAGCCCGGGGCUCAACCCCGGAAGUGCCGUUGAUACUGCGUGGCUGGAAUGCGGUCGAGGCGGGCGGAACGUGGCGUGUAGCGGUGAAAUGCGUAGAUAUGCCACAGAACGCCGUUAGCGGGGGCAGCUCGCCAGGCCUGCAUUGACGCUCGGGCACGAACGCGUGGGGAUCGAACAGGAUUAGAUCCCCUGGUAGUCCACGCCGUAAACGAUGGGCGCUCGGCGUCGGCGACAGACAGUCGGCGGCCAAGCGAAAGCGAUAAGCGCCCCACCUGGGGAGUACGGUCGCAAGGCUGAAACUCAAAUGAAUUGACGGG
rnacentral:rRNA from 1 species